AAUCACAUGGUAUAAUAAUUCUUGUAAGCAAGUUGAUGGUGGUAGCUGAACUUCUACUAAGGAAGGUGAUGCCUAUGAAAUUUUUGGCAGUAACUUCCGAAAGGAGAGUAAGUAUGUCAGAUUAUGAGUUGGCAGUAAUUAUGUUAAUGUCAAUUCAACUUCUGAUUGACGUUUUUAA
rnacentral:sRNA from 1 species